rnacentral:lncRNA from 1 species
UUUACACUGUCUGUGUUUAUAAGUUGAACUUAUGAUAAUAAUGUGCUCAAUGAAUUGUGCCGUGGACCGCUUCCUGCAUUUUCUGUAAUAAACUGUUGAAGAGUUUUCCUGUUGGAGAUGGGUAUCCAAGUUCGUGGCCGAAGAUGGGUUACUAAGGAUUAGUCAGAAAAAGAAGAGAGGAUAAUAAUAGCUAUGAAGACUUGUAUGUACGACAUCCAUUCUUCUGCUGCGAGGGGUUUAUUUCUCUCCAGAGUUCAAGUGCUACAUUAUGAAAGCACUUACAUAUUCAUUCUCCCUUGUCAUUGUUGUUGCACAUAGGUCUUCAAAUGUUGUAUAGAUGUAUCCUCAUCGGUAUAUGUAUAGGAUUGCAUAUAGAUGAUAUUCGUAACAUGCAUCGAAAGACAAUAACAAUUUUAGGAAGAUCUUUUCGUGUUUAAAAUUUAUUUACAUGUUAAAGAUCGGGUCUGAGACGUACAUGGUGAAGAGAGUCUUAUUUCAACGAUAGUGCGAAUACUCUAUGCGUAUUCAUACCGAGACCGAUCCUUGCUAUAAACUCUUUGAUUAAUGAAACACACGAACAAAUUGAAUGAAAGCUUGUGCUGGAAUUUUUCUCACAAAUCUCAACUCAA